rnacentral:lncRNA from 1 species
UUUGAAAUCAUGAAUUUAAUUUCACAUCAAGAAUUUUAUUUAUAAAUUCAAAUUCAACAAAAAUUUUUAAAUUCAUAUUUAUAAAUUUCAACCAACCUAAUUAGACAAAAAAAAAAUUAAUACAGAGGAUAAAUAAGACACUGGCUAGCAUACUAGCGUUUUUUUUUUUAUAAAAUGUACAGAAACUUUCUAAACUUUAGCACUUUUAAAAAUAGGCAUCUCAAUUUUCAAUUAUGACAAUUAUAUGUAAACUUUAUCAAAUAGUUCAAGGCCAAUUAGCAUAAAAAAUCCACAAGUUUUAAGUUUUUACAAAACUGGGCCACCUUUUUCAAUUUUGCAGAUUCGGUCUGAAUUUUCAGCGAACUGAUCAAAAGACCCUUAUACCUUUUUCUCUCUCCUCUUUUUUUCUUUUUUCUUUUUUUUCCCUCUCCGAAGAAGGCGGCAAAGGUGGAGGCGGAAACAGCCCGCCUCACCUAUGCCCCUCACGCCCUCGUCCUCGCCCACGCACGCCCCUCCCUCCUCGCUUCCGACCCCGUCGAAGCCGCGCCGCGACCUUUUUUUAUUUUUUAUUUUUCUCUCCGACCCUCCUCGACCCGCAGUUCCCACUGCCGCCGCUGGUGACAAAGAGGAAGUGCUUCUCGGGGUCCAGAAGCACAUCGGCGAGAGAGGGGGAGAAAAAUAGUUACACUCCGACGAGAAAAAGAAAAUAAGAAUAAUAAAAAAUAAAAAAAUUUCUACAGAAAAGAUAAAAAAUCAUAGAAGAAUGAAGAAGAAAUGAAAUUGCACUGUUAAAAAAAAAUUACACUGUUUUAAAAAAAAUUUGCACUGUUUUAGAUAAAAUUGCACUCUUUGAAAUAGAAAUUACACUAUUUUGAAAUAAAGAGUUACACUCUUUAGACGAAUGUUGCACUAUUUGGAUGAAAUUUACACCAUUUCUCCUUUCCCACAUCUUUCUCCUUCUUCCUCCUCCUUACACGAUUUCUCUUUCCACCCUAGUU